UUUUACUUAGUUUAAUAAUUAAAAUAAUGAUUUGUCAGGUCAUAGAUUGAAAGUUUCAAGUAAAAG
rnacentral:tRNA from 1 species